CAGCACCUUCUCCAGGUCAGAUGGGCUCUUCUCUACUUUUGCUGGCACCAUCGCAUUGAGGAAGCCUUCUGUGAGGACCCCAACUGAGUAUUGAUCCCUCGCACCGGGAGAAGCAAACUGCCGUGUUGUGAGCAGACCUAUUGAGAAAGCUGUGUGGCCAAGAACAGAUGUCUCUGAUCAACAGCCAGCAAAUAAAUACCUGAGAGCUGCCAACAGCCGCACUGGCGAGUUUGGAAGCCGAUCCUCCCCGGCAGAGCUUUGCGAUGACUACCCCAGGCAAUACAUGGAUUUUGGCUUUGGGAAAGAGGGUGAGUCAGAGGCACCAGCCCAGAGUCUGGGAGAGAAUAAAUGUUUGUUGAGUAAGCCACUA